GACGAACGCUGGCGGCGCGCUUAACACAUGCAAGUCGAACGGAAAGGCCUGCUUUCCCUUGUGUAUUGCGGGUACUCGAGUGGCGAACGGGUGAGUAACACGUGAGUGAUCUUCCCCCAACUUGGGUAUAAGCCUGGGAAACUGGGUCUAAUUCCCGAUAGGACUGCAGGGUGGUGCCUGUGGUGGAAAACGAUUUUCUAGUGGUUGGGGAUGAGCUCGCGGCCUAUCAGCUUGUUGGUGGGGUAAUGGCCUACCAAGGCGGCGACGGGUAGCCGGCCUGGGAGGGUGGACGGCCACAGGGGGACGGAGACACGGCCCAGACGACUACGGGAGGAAGCCGAGGGGAAGAUUGCACAAUGGGCGGAAGCCUGAGGCAGCGACGCUGAGUGGGGGAUGACGGGCGUCGGGUUGUAAACUCCUGGCGACAGCGAGGAAGCCACCUGGUUGGAAGGGUGGUGACGGUAGUGGUAGAAGAAGCACCGGCUAACUACGUG
rnacentral:rRNA from 1 species